UACAGAGGUGGCAAGCGUUGUUCGGAUUUAUUGGGCGUAAAGAGCUCGUAGGCGGUUUCGUUAGUCGGGUGUGAAAACUCUAGGCUCAACCUGGAGACGCCACCCGAUACUGCGAUGACUAGAGUCCGGUAGGGGAGUGUGGAAUUCCUGGUGUAGCGGUGAAAUGCGCAGAUAUCAGGAGGAACACCAACGGCGAAGGCAGCACUCUGGGCCGGAACUGACGCUGAGGAGCAAAAGCGUGGGUAGCGAACAGG
rnacentral:rRNA from 1 species